rnacentral:rRNA from 1 species
GACGAACGCUGGCGGCGUGCUUAACACAUGCAAGUCGAACGAUGAAGCUAGAGCUUGCUCUGGUGAAUUAGUGGCGAACGGGUGAGUAACACGUGAGUAACCUGCCCCGAACUCUGGGAUAACUGCGGGAAACUGUAGCUAAUACCGGAUACGACCCUCGGAGGCAUCUCCUGGGGGUGGAAAGAAUUUCGGUCAAGGAUGGACUCGCGGCCUAUUAGCUAGUUGGUAGGGUAACGGCCUACCAAGGCGACGAUCCGUAGCUGGUCUGAGAGGACGACCAGCCACACUGGGACUGAGACACGGCCCAGACUCCUACGGGAGGCAGCAGUGGGGAAUAUUGGACAAUGGGGGAAACCCUGAUCCAGCGACGCCGCGUGUGUGAAGAAGGCCUGCGGGUUGUAAAGCACUUUUAGUGGGGAUGAAAAGCUCAGGGAUAACACCUCUGGGUCUUGACCUAACCCACAGAAAAAGCACCGGCUAACUCUGUGCCAGCAGCCGCCGUAA